GCCUCAUUGUUCCAAUGGUUAAGAUGUCUGACUUCCAAUCAGACGAUGCGGGUUCGAUUUCCGCAUGAGGCU
rnacentral:tRNA from 1 species